rnacentral:rRNA from 1 species
UCGAGCGGAUGACGGGAGCUUGCUCCUUGAUUCAGCGGCGGACGGGUGAGUAAUGCCUAGGAAUCUGCCUGGUAGUGGGGGACAACGUUUCGAAAGGAACGCUAAUACCGCAUACGUCCUACGGGAGAAAGCAGGGGACCUUCGGGCCUUGCGCUAUCAGAUGAGCCUAGGUCGGAUUAGCUUGUUGGUGAGGUAAUGGCUCACCAAGGCGACGAUCCGUAACUGGUCUGAGAGGAUGAUCAGUCACACUGGAACUGAGACACGGUCCAGACUCAUACGGGAGGCAGCAGUGGGGAAUAUUGGACAAUGGGCGAAAGCCUGAUCCAGCCAUGCCGCGUGUGUGAAGAAGGUCUUCGGAUUGUAAAGCACUUUAAGUUGGGAGGAAGGGUUGUAGAUUAAUACUCUGCAAUUUUGACGUUACCGACAGAAUAAGCACCGGCUAACUCUGUGCCAGCAGCCGCGGUAAUACAGAGGGUGCAAGCGUUAAUCGGAAUUACUGGGCGUAAAGCGCGCGUAGGUGGUUUGUUAAGUUGGAUGUGAAAGCCCCGGGCUCAACCUGGGAACUGCAUCCAAAACUGGCAAGCUAGAGUACGGUAGAGGGUGGUGGAAUUUCCUGUGUAGCGGUGAAAUGCGUAGAUAUAGGAAGGAACACCAGUGGCGAAGGCGACCACCUGGACUGAUACUGACACUGAGGUGCGAAAGCGUGGGGAGCAAACAGGAUUAGAUACCCUGGUAGUCCACGCCGUAAACGAUGUCAACUAGCCGUUGG